GGGGGCCUGCUUGCUACUUUUUCUAAUUUUUCGGGAUUUUUGUGGCUUCCAUUUGAUCCAAAAUAUCCUCUGAUAUCUCUUCUUUUAGCAGUUCUAGGAGUUCGUCAACCCCGGUUCCCCAUAGUACUGGUACUGUAGACGAACCCGUAGCUAGGACCGAAUCCUGUCCGGCCUUCAUGCCAGACACCAUCCCUGGCUCCUUGACUCCGGAUGAACUCUCACUGAUAAGGAUUC
rnacentral:lncRNA from 1 species